ensembl:lincRNA Mir124-2hg Mir124-2 host gene (non-protein coding)
AGAGCGGAGCCUACGGCUGCACUUGAAGGACAUCCGAGAGAAGUUAGGAAGGGUGGGGAGAAACAAUUCUAGAAUGAACCCAUCCUGUGCGACACAAGGACCCCUCGCAUUGAUUCAAAAUCUUUAGAAUGCAAGACAGUCAAAUGUUUUUCAGCGAGAAUCUGGGAAAUCCGCAUGCAUAUUCCCAAGGGGAAUAUUAGAGGUUUCAUUGACAGCUGUCAGGAGAGCUGUAGUUCCCAUUGGUGCAAACGGUCUAAGAGUUGGCACUCAGAGAGUGCUGGCCUUUUCCAAAUAAAAUAGAUUGAGAUUGUUCACAAUUCUGGGUCGAACUGGGAAAACAAAACGAAUGAGAAGGGUGUAGCAUUAAAGAAACCCCAGACCACACUGCAUAAGAAACCUCAAAUGACUCAAUUAUCAGUGAAAAUAGGGCCCCCGCCCCAAGCUUUUCACUAGUCUCCCAUUCUCUACCCAGUCUCAUGGUAGCCUUGACUGGAUUUAAAGGGCCAAGGCAAAGUGACAAUACCCAAAUCAGUCAAUAUUGUCCAAUAAGAGGGAAAGGCCAAGUCAGGAACUCUAAGACUUGGUAAAUUAAUUUAUUUGGAAGACCAUGAGGUACUUAGUUAAGGUAGGCUCCAUAACCUGAAAGCCUAAGAAAACCACCGCUGAGAAAGAGCCUUGACGGAAGUCUUUGUUCUGUGGUGGCCUAUCUGGCCUGGGAACAAAGGAGAGGCUGGAGAAGGAUAACCCAAAGUGGCCGCACCCUCCUCGCCUUGCUGGCUGACAGGAUCAUCUUCCUCUUCCUCUUUCUUUUCCUCCUCCGUUACCCCCCUCCCCCUCCUCUUGUGGUAAUUCUGCAAAUAAGGCAAUAGAAUUAUAGAAUCGCUUCUUCUCUACCCAGCCCCAAACCCCAGGAUAUUAGGUAACUUACAAAUAAAAACCUUGAAAUACGGAAAGAUAGGCUAAGCAGUAUUUUGCUGAAACCAUCCACUCUGACAAUCAGCUGAUUUGGCCGGAAACCCGAGUAGUUAACAAAAUGUGCUAGAGAGAGAUUAAAUAGAUUUUUUUUUCCUCUUAAAUCACUAUCUUGAAAAGAGAAACACACGGUUUUCAGUUGAGGAUCUUAUCUCAGAUAUGGUCACCAAAGAUACCUCUCAAAGGACCCUAGAGUGUGCCUCAAAAUAUAUUUAAAAGGCUCUGACUGAGGUUGAUUUAGUGACCAGAGCAGGCAGGAGUAGAGCAGCCUGCAACCACUCUCUCUCAUGGCUCUCAGCAAGGCUUUCUGUGGGACUGCUUUCCUUACUGAGUUCUGAGGCCUAGACCCACAGAGUGGCAGGGUGAUGGUGCCCAGGAGCUGGCAGUGAGCAGCACUCCUCACAGGAGGUACUGCAGGCCUAGGAGGCCUGAAUCCCACAGUGCAGAGAAAACCAUACUGCAGAGCACAGCUCACUACGGAGGCAGAGUAGCUUACCAAAUCCCAUAUAAUAUGAAGAUUUGUCUUAGGAAUCCUGGGUCAAAUGUAUCUGAAUUAAUGCAUUCAACAUAUAUUUAAAAUUAUCAGCAUUCUAAUUUAAAUAUUGAGAGUAUUGUAUGUAAAUAGUAAAAUAUUAAGUUCUAUAUUGAGUCAUAUUUGCAAUGGAAAGAGUAAUAGACAAUAGAUUGGUCUGUAUUCAGCCGAGGGCCCAGGAAAGAAAAUGCUCCAUGCUUGAAUUUCUUUGUAGAUUCCCAUCAUAAAUACUGUCAAACAUCAGUCAUAGAUAAACUAAACAAAGCUGUAAAGAGAGACAGUGGCAGUGAAUUUUACUUGGGCAUAGAAAUGGUCCAUAAAUGAACAAUGGCCUAAAAAAUAUGUUUUUAUACCAUUUAUUCUCUUCCACCUGAAUGGUCCAAAUGUAGCCAAUGAUUCAGGAAAAAAUGAGGUCAGAAAUUAUAUUCUUGGGGGUCUAGUUCCUAUUCACUCCAUCCUAAAACGGUGGCUUUUAGUUUUGUUUUCUGAUUUUAAAACUCUGUAAAUUAGGAUCUUUAUAUCCACAAAUUUUAGGUUUGCAUGUGAUUUUACACAAUAUGGGGGGUGGGUGAUGGCGAUAUCACACUUUGUUGGGACAAGAGCCACCUCAAACACAAAGAACCCCCCCCCAUCCUCUUGUGUCACUGAAAAAAAAAAAAAAACAGCUCACCAGAAAUGGGAAUGGGUUUGAAGUGCUGAAGGUUGUCACGGAUGCUCCUCCUUCCAGCAAUGACCUAGUUAUUCUGGUGGUCUCUCCUCACAAUCCCCUGAGCUCCUCACAAAGCAAAAAGGGUCUAACAGUCCUGCUUACAUCAGUGUAAUUCAUAUUACAUAAUAAAAACACAGUAAUACUCCCCAACCGAAUCCUACUUGUUUACAGCAGUCCUAUACUCUCGCUUCAGAAAGCUUAAUUGGUCAAAAAAUAUAUUUUCUAAAUAAAAAUGAAACUUGUAAUAUGAAAGAAUUUAAAAAGUAAGGGAGCAAGUACAGGGCUUAGUCAUCUGGUUGCUAUGAUUAAAUCCAGUGUGGUUAUUGAUCCAUGGUGUUUAUGUACUUUUAAAAUUAAUUAUUUUCAUUUUUUAUAAGUAAUCACCCAACUUAAUGUCUAUUACAAAAUUUCCCUGCUAUGAAAUUCUGUGCUCAGCAGUUUUCCAGCAAAACAGCCCAGGUGGACAAUUAGAGAGCUUUGGUGCAGAGGACCAUGGGAGUCCUUGAGCAAUCACAACUUUCAUCUAGUGGUCUGAAAUUAGAGCUUCUCGGGAUAAUUUAGGAACAGCUUGACCAGUUGAGACUCUCAGGGACAACCCUCCUAGGGAAUAGUGUGUUUCUUCAGGGAGUAAGAUGCUAGCGCAGGAAACCGAGGCAUCUGGUGUCAACAACGCCAGAGCGCCCUCUGCUGCUCCCAACAAAUAGAACACUGGUUUCCGAAGCCAGAUGGUUAAGAGUUUCAAUAAGCCCAGGAAGCAGUAAGCUCUUAGGAUGAUUUAAUCUGUGGAAUUUAAAAGCUUCCAUCUUAUUCUUCGUCCGAAAAGGCUACCCGAUUUUCAUCGGGACCACUCCUGGGAUGGUUACAUUCUGAGGCGAGAGGUCAUUGUUUAAAGCAGAUUGUCGAUUCUAUUGGUUGUAUUUCUGUGUCUUUUUUUUUUUUUUUAAUUUUAUAAAAAAAGAAUAUGGAAUUGUAAAUCUGAGGGCAAAGUCUUUCUACUAGGCAACUGAAAAAGAAAUAAUUGUCUUGAGUUUUGCACAUAACUGAAGUCUUAUGAUAGGAAAUAUCUGAAUUAAAAUAAAGAUACCAAGCUCAAGGUGUUUACUUAUUUUUGAAGGGCACUGAACCAAAAGUAAUGCCUUACAUAAAGAAUGAUUGUGCUGAUUUUGUAUUACUAUUAAUGCCAAUUUUCAAAGAUAGGCUUUGAAUAAGAAAAUGAUUUAUGUUUGAGGAAGAAGCUGAAAUUUUUGAGUCAUAUUAAUUUAUCCAAAAUUUCACCUCUGAAAUCUUCCUAGUAAGUACUCAAAUGGCAAAGCUACCAGGAAGUAAUCGGUUAUAAACAGAACCAUCAGGGAUGCAGAGACGGAAGCAGUGUGUGCAGACCUCUAAGUGUUAUUUAUGGAGUUUAUGUAUGGAAAAAUCUAUUUGAAAUAAAAAAUAGGCAUGUUGAAAAGUUAAAACAUUUUUAAUUUUAUGUUUUAUUAGGCUUAUAUGGAAUAAAAUAAUGUAUAACUGUAUUACUUCAGCACCAUGAAUUUAGAAGUUCCAGCAUAUUGUGAAGCAGACACAUCUUUGCUAUGAAAACUGACUCACUACAUCAGUGCUGGUAUAAUAAAAUGCUUCUAAUGAUGUAGUUGUUAAAUUUUCUAAAAUAAAGAUCAGUUUAUUUUGUGAUGGCA